rnacentral:precursor_RNA from 15 species
ACUCAGAGCUCAACAUCCAAGGUCCCAUCUAGGUCAGAUAUUCUGUCUUUCAGUGAUAUACACCCUGGAACACAGGCUAGCUGAUCUGGAAGUGUCCUUUGGUUAGCAACUGUUUUCAG